GGAGCCAGUGCGGUGAGGGAGAAAAAGCAUGGAGCGCAAAGAAAGAGAGGACAGGAGAAGAGUGGCAGCAGGCAGGGACGGACAGCGGCAGCACAUGGAACAGCACGAAAAGGAAAGAACUGACGAAUGAAUGGAACCAAACGAAAGGAGGAGAAGUAUUGGACUGAGGGAUGAGAGGCCACCUCUUCUUCUCCCUCUUCUCAGCUCAUCCAUUCUCUUUUCAUUCCCCACGAGAAUGUGUGUGCUCCUGUGUGUGUGUGUUCUCCUUCUCGUCAGAUCUGCGGAGCUUUUAUUCACACACAAAGAUGGGACGUACCUGGCACAGGCAGACGUGAAGGAGCUGGCAAAAGAAUGUGCAUUUGUGUUUGAGUUAGUGUAUGUGAGAAGGAGACGCAGAAAGAGGCACUGGCUCACCUGCCUGGCAAAGCAUGACGCCUGACAGCCUGAGAUGUCCCACUUAACACUGACUGAAGCAAGCACACAUACACUUCAACCACUCAAAAGCAGCACAUUCUUGUAUUUAGCUCCACACACUACAUCUGCGUGGUGUCUGAAUGUGCAUGGUUUACAUUUCCAUAUUUUGUGUAACAAUCCUUCCAUUAUCCUGAGAUCCUGUGUAGUGUUGAUAUGGUAUGAUGAAUCACAUUAAUGUUUAAAGAAUUUAUCAGAAAACGUCUAAAUCUGAUAUCUGUUAAAUGAUCGUGGGAAUUAAUCUUUUGACUCAGAUAGAUUUUGUCAUGAUCUGUGAUUAGUGAUCCUAUCUGUUAGUGCUCUCUCUGAACAGGAGAACUUUGCUGGGAGGGGUGGUGGAGCCAUGGCAGGACACACACCUGUUCUGAAUUCUUCUGAUUAGGUUGCUGGGGAUUUAAGAAGCUGUAGGACAACCAUUGUUUGCCUAAUGGACAACCCAUGUGGUAGAAUCAAGCCAUUCGAGUUCUCUGAACUUUUGCUCUAGUUUUUGGUGACUAAGUGUCCAAGUACAAGUUUCUUACCUUCGAGCUCCUUGUAUCUCCAGGCGACUUUAUUGUUUUGAUGCCCUCGCCAAGCUUGGACUACCUCUGCAAACCCGGGUCUCUUUUGGAACUUUAUCUGGACCACAGUUGUCUGCAGCAAGUGUUGAUCCCCCUCGAGAUCUUCCCAGCCUGCCUGCUCUCCACUGAUCACUCUCCCCAGCAUCUGUUCCCCGUUCAGCCUCACUCACACCUCUGGGUAACAGGAGCUGCACUUCAAGCCUCUCCAAAGGAUCUCCAGUUUGUAACCUGUGAUCUGAUAAAGCUACAAAUGAGUCCUCUAUCAGGACCCCUAGGCUUCCCUAUGCCUCCCUGCCAAAAACGUCUGCAUCUCCUGGACCCCCUCGAGGCAGGGGACAGCCAAAUGUCACUUGGACCCUCUACAGAGUGGUGAGGGGGGGACAGCAAGAGGCCGCUGGGAGAGGAGAGGAGAAAGAGGACUCAGGGAAGUAAAUAAAAGGGAGACAAAAGUUAAAGAGGAGAUCCAAAGAUGUGGCCAGGGAGUGACUACAGAGUUGGAAAGGCAGCCCGGAUGGAAGGAGAAAUAUGGAAUACUGAUCUGCUGACCACAAUGCCAGUCAUUAUGAGGGAAUAUCAGGCAUAAAGGGAGCAUUCCUGUUGGCACAGUGACUUGAAUCUCGUGUUCUCCUGUUUUUCCGAUUUCAAAGGACAGCUAAGAGAAUUGAGCCUCUGCAUCUAAGUAUAUUUAUUCCCCAGAAAAACAGGAAAUUAUUGAUGACUAAUAUUAAGAUCCUAGACACUGAUCCUUCUCCUCUUGAUAAAUGAAUUUUAUUUCCUUU